UAGAACUAAUGAUUCAAGGAGUGAAAUGACGGGGUAACGCCCUGAAGUGCUCCCUCUAAUACUCCGAUUGGCAGCUAAUCUAGAUUAGAAGGUUAGCUGUCAAAAGCUCGGUGAAGUCGGCUGAGAGUUACCGUAAUGGCAUUUACGCAAUCGAAAGCUGUCCAGAGGUGGAUGGUGUAACCUAUAAGUCGGGAGUCCACAAA
rfam:Enterococcus mundtii QT 25 DNA, complete genome.